rnacentral:rRNA from 1 species
GACGAACGCUGGCGGCGUGCUUAACACAUGCAAGUCGAACGGAAAGGCCCUGCUUUUGUGGGGUGCUCGAGUGGCGAACGGGUGAGUAACACGUGAGUAACCUGCCCUUGACUUUGGGAUAACUUCAGGAAACUGGGGCUAAUACCGUAUAGGAUCUCCUGCUGCAUGGUGGGGGUUGGAAAGUUUCGGCGGUUGGGGAUGGACUCGCGGCUUAUCAGCUUGUUGGUGGGGUAGUGGCUUACCAAGGCUUUGACGGGUAGCCGGCCUGAGAGGGUGACCGGCCACAUUGGGACUGAGAUACGGCCCAGACUCCUACGGGAGGCAGCAGUGGGGAAUAUUGCACAAUGGGCGGAAGCCUGAUGCAGCAACGCCGCGUGCGGGAUGACGGCCUUCGGGUUGUAAACCGCUUUCGCCUGUGACGAAGCGUGAGUGACGGUAAUGGGUAAAGAAGCACCGGCUAACUACGUG